GGCAGUAGCUCAAUGGAUAGAGCAUCUGACUUCGGAUCAGACGGUUGGGGGUUCGAGUCCUCUCUGCCG
rnacentral:tRNA from 1 species